rnacentral:rRNA from 1 species
CCUGGCUCAGAUUGAACGCUGGCGGAAUGCUUUACACAUGCAAGUCGAACGGCAGCACGGACUUCGGUCUGGUGGCGAGUGGCGAACGGGUGAGUAACAUAUCGGAACGUAUCCAAUAAUGGGGGAUAACUAAUCGAAAGGUUGGCUAAUACCGCAUACGCCCUGAGGGGGAAAGCUAGGGAUCUUCGGACCUGGCGUUAAUGGAGCGGCCGAUAUCUGAUUAGCUAGUUGGUGAGGUAAAGGCUCACCAAGGCGACGAUCAGUAGCUGGUCUGAGAGGACGACCAGCCACACUGGAACUGAGACACGGUCCAGACUCCUACGGGAGGCAGCAGUGGGGAAUUUUGGACAAUGGGCGCAAGCCUGAUCCAGCCAUUCCGCGUGAGUGAAGAAGGCCUUCGGGUUGUAAAGCUCUUUCGCAAGGGAAGAAAACUUAUCCUCUAACAUAGGAUGAGGUUGACGGUACCUUGAUAAGAAGCACCGGCUAACUACGUGCCAGCAGCCGCGGUAAUACGUAGGGUGCGAGCGUUAAUCGGAAUUACUGGGCGUAAAGCGUGCGCAGGCUGUUUUGUAAGUCAGAUGUGAAAUCCCUGGGCUCAACCUAG